GACGUAGGGCGCGAGCGUUGUCCGGAUUUAUUGGGCGUAAAGAGCUCGUAGGCGGCUUGUUGCGUCAGCUGUGAAAACCCGCAGCUCAACUGUGGGCUUGCAGCCGAUACGGGCAGGCUUGAGUUCGGUAGGGGAGACUGGAAUUCCUGGUGUAGCGGUGAAAUGCGCAGAUAUCAGGAGGAACACCGGUGGCGAAGGCGGCAUCCUGGACCGGUAUUGACGCUGAGGAGCGAAAGCCAGGGGAGCAAACGGG
rnacentral:rRNA from 1 species